rnacentral:lncRNA from 1 species
UGAUAUGAUCAAAUGUUGUAAAAGAGCAUAAGCUCUUCUUUACUUUGAAGUACUCAUUUUCUUGUUUUAUUUGAUAUGCAUGAAAUUGGAGUAGUUGGGUCCAACGCCCAAUAGGAAAAACACGUCUUAAUAUGAUUAAACGCAUAACUAAAAUCAAUCACCAUCCCUAGACCGAGAUUCAACACUAGGCUCGUGUUGGAUCUAAUCAAAGGUUCAUAGUCAUCCUAAGGCCCUAAGGCAACUAUAUAGUCCAUCAAUGAAUGCAAACCUUAUGCUAGUAGUACCAUAUACUCUUGCUUUAAAAACCAUUUUACAAGCUUAGUGGGAGUAUUAUAUACUACUAAAUCAAUCACAUGGACCAAUAGUUGUAAUAGGACCAAAUUGUUUUAAUAAGAUUAAAAUGAAUGUUUAUAUAUGAUGAGACCUAAAACCCUUAACCAAACCAUUAUUAAGUUGAUAAGCGUGAGAGUGCUUUGAACACUCUUUCGUGGCCUUCCACCGUGGUAGGCUCCGAUCAUUUGUGACUCGAACACCGACUUCACCCUAUCAUGAGGGAGUACAAAGUGCGUGCUUACACUCAGGAUGAAUCCUAUACGCAUACAUGAUGUUGUGAAGGUAGGCAACGAGAAUGAUCAACAUCAUAUCAUUGUGAGGUUGUUCUUAUACCCCUACCCGAACUUGCAUGGUGGGAAUGACUUAACUAAGUGCAAUGGAGCCAACAUCAUAUCAUUGUGAGGCUUCAUUCUCUAGAGGCCAAAUAAGAUGGGUACUUGCAAGAGAUGCAAAUGAGUAAGUGUACUUUCUCAUUAUUAUUGAUGCUAGCCAACAUCAUAUCAUUGUGAGGUGGGCUUGGUAAUGAUGAGUCUCCCAUACCCUACUAAGAGUUUCCUCCAAAACUCUCGAAUUUCGAUGAGGGAUAUGGAAUUCUCCAAAAAUAGUGGGUGGUGCUAUUUGAUUUAAAGACCCGAAUCAAAUGGCUUAAAAUCAAUCAAUUUAUAUUCGUUAUGUAUUUGUUUACCGAUAUAUUUGCAAACGCUAUCCAAAACUUGACUAAG